rnacentral:rRNA from 1 species
GAGAAGCUUGCUUCUCUGAUGUUAGCGGCGGACGGGUGAGUAACACGUGGAUAACCUACCUAUAAGACUGGGAUAACUUCGGGAAACCGGAGCUAAUACCGGAUAAUAUUUUGAACCGCAUGGUUCAAAAGUGAAAGACGGUCUUGCUGUCACUUAUAGAUGGAUCCGCGCUGCAUUAGCUAGUUGGUAAGGUAACGGCUUACCAAGGCAACGAUGCAUAGCCGACCUGAGAGGGUGAUCGGCCACACUGGAACUGAGACACGGUCCAGACUCCUACGGGAGGCAGCAGUAGGGAAUCUUCCGCAAUGGGCGAAAGCCUGACGGAGCAACGCCGCGUGAGUGAUGAAGGUCUUCGGAUCGUAAAACUCUGUUAUUAGGGAAGAACAUAUGUGUAAGUAACUGUGCACAUCUUGACGGUACCUAAUCAGAAAGCCACGGCUAACUACGUGCCAGCAGCCGCGGUAAUACGUAGGUGGCAAGCGUUAUCCGGAAUUAUUGGGCGUAAAGCGCGCGUAGGCGGUUUUUUAAGUCUGAUGUGAAAGCCCACGGCUCAACCGUGGAGGGUCAUUGGAAACUGGAAAACUUGAGUGCAGAAGAGGAAAGUGGAAUUCCAUGUGUAGCGGUGAAAUGCGCAGAGAUAUGGAGGAACACCAGUGGCGAAGGCGACUUUCUGGUCUGUAACUGACGCUGAUGUGCGAAAGCGUGGGGAUCAAACAGGAUUAGAUACCCUGGUAGUCCACGCCGUAAACGAUGAGUGCUAAGUGUUAGGGGGUUUCCGCCCCUUAGUGCUGCAGCUAACGCAUUAAGCACUCCGCCUGGGGAGUACGACCGCAAGGUUGAAACUCAAAGGAAUUGACGGGGACCCGCACAAGCGGUGGAGCAUGUGGUUUAAUUCGAAGCAACGCGAAGAACCUUACCAAAUCUUGACAUCCUUUGACAACUCUAGAGAUAGAGCUUUCCCCUUCGGGGGACAAAGUGACAGGUGGUGCAUGGUUGUCGUCAGCUCGUGUCGUGAGAUGUUGGGUUAAGUCCCGCAACGAGCGCAACCCUUAAGCUUAGUUGCCAUCAUUAAGUUGGGCACUCUAAGUUGACUGCCGGUGACAAACCGGAGGAAGGUGGGGAUGACGUCAAAUCAUCAUGCCCCUUAUGAUUUGGGCUACACACGUGCUACAAUGGACAAUACAAAGGGCAGCGAAACCGCGAGGUCAAGCAAAUCCCAUAAAGUUGUUCUCAGUUCGGAUUGUAGUCUGCAACUCGACUACAUGAAGCUGGAAUCGCUAGUAAUCGUAGAUCAGCAUGCUACGGUGAAUACGUUCCCGGGUCUUGUACACACCGCCCGUCACACCACGAGAGUUUGUAACACCCGAAGCCGGUGGAGUAACCUUUUAGGAGCUAGCCGUCGAAGGUGGGACAAAUGAUUGGGGUGAAGUCGUAACAAGGUAGCCGUAUCGGAAGGUGCGGCUGGAUCACCU